rnacentral:rRNA from 1 species
UACGGAGGGUGCAAGCGUUAAUCGGAAUUACUGGGCGUAAAGCGUGCGCAGGCGGUUUGUUAAGUCUGCUGUGAAAUCCCCGAGCUCAACUUGGGAAUUGCAGUGGAUACUGGCAGGCUGGAGUAUGGUAGAGGAAGGUGGAAUUCCCGGUGUAGCAGUGAAAUGCGUAGAGAUCGGGAGGAACACAGUGGCGAAGGCAGCCACCUGGUCUCAUACUGACGCUGAGGCGCGAAAGCGUGGGGAGCGAACAGG